AUGAACGCUGGCGGCGUGCCUAAUACAUGCAAGUCGAGCGAACAGACGAGGAGCUUGCUCCUCUGACGUUAGCGGCGGACGGGUGAGUAACACGUGGAUAACCUACCUAUAAGACUGGGAUAACUUCGGGAAACCGGAGCUAAUACCGGAUAAUAUAUUGAACCGCAUGGUUCAAUAGUGAAAGACGGUUUUGCUGUCACUUAUAGAUGGAUCCGCGCCGCAUUAGCUAGUUGGUAAGGUAACGGCUUACCAAGGCGACGAUGCGUAGCCGACCUGAGAGGGUGAUCGGCCACACUGGAACUGAGACACGGUCCAGACUCCUACGGGAGGCAGCAGUAGGGAAUCUUCCGCAAUGGGCGAAAGCCUGACGGAGCAACGCCGCGUGAGUGAUGAAGGUCUUCGGAUCGUAAAACUCUGUUAUUAGGGAAGAACAAAUGUGUAAGUAACUAUGCACGUCUUGACGGUACCUAAUCAGAAAGCCAAGGCUAACUACGUG
rnacentral:rRNA from 1 species